AUGGAGCAACGCCGCGUGAGUGAAGAAGGGUUUCGGCUCGUAAAACUCUGUUGUUAAAGAAGAACAUAUCUGAGAGUAACUGUUCAGGUAUUGACGGUAUUUAACCAGAAAGCCACGGCUAACUACGUGCCAGCAGCCGCGGUAAUACGUAGGUGGCAAGCGUUGUCCGGAUUUAUUGGGCGUAAAGCGAGCGCAGGCGGUUUUUUAAGUCUGAUGUGAAAGCCUUCGGCUCAACCGAAGAAGUGCAUCGGAAACUGGGAAACUUGAGUGCAGAAGAGGACAGUGGAACUCCAUGUGUAGCGGUGAAAUGCGUAGAUAUAUGGAAGAACACCAGUGGCGAAGGCGGCUGUCUGGUCUGUAACUGACGCUGAGGCUCGAAAGUAUGGGUAGCAAACAGGAUUAGAUACCCUGGUAGUCCAUACCGUAAACGAUGAAUGCUAAGUGUUGGAGGGUUUCCGCCCUUCAGUGCUGCAGCUAACGCAUUAAGCAUUCCGCCUGGGGAGUACGGCCGCAAGGCUGAAACUCAAAGGAAUUGACGGGGGCCCG
rnacentral:rRNA from 2 species